rfam:Fukomys damarensis contig162312, whole genome shotgun sequence.
GCCGGGCGUGGUGGCGCACACCUGUAAUCCCAGCACUCGGGAGGCUGAGGCAGGAGGAUCUCUGUGAGUUGAGACCAGCCUGGGCUGCAUACUGAGUUCCAGGUCAGUCUCAACUACAUAGUGAGACCCUGUCUCAA